UACGUAGGGGGCAAGCGUUGUCCGGAAUCAUUGGGCGUAAAGCGCGUGUAGGCGGCUCGGGAAGUCUGCUCUGAAAGCCCGGGGCUCAACCCUGGGAGGCGGGUGGAUACUGCUGAGCUCGAGUCCGGAAGAGGCGAGUGGAAUUCCUGGUGUAGCGGUGAAAUGCGCAGAUAUCAGGAGGAACACCAAUGGCGAAGGCAGCUCGCUGGGACGGUACUGACGCUGAGACGCGAAAGCGUGGGGAGCAAACAGG
rnacentral:rRNA from 1 species